UGCGUUGCCUAAAACNCAGUAGAAGCUCA
rnacentral:piRNA from 1 species